rnacentral:lncRNA from 1 species
UCCACUCAUCCGGCAUCCUUUUGGUCCUGAAGAUCGCAUUGAACAACCUGGAUAGCUACUCCCCCCCAGACUUACCCAUGCACUUCCAGAACUCCACCGGGAUCUCGUCCGGCCAGGUCGCUCGAUCCGUACUCAUCCUACGCAAAGCUCCCAUGACCUCCUCCUUUCUAAUGCGCCUGCAGUACCCAAGGUCCCUAUGACGCUCUGAAUGCCCCAGCUCCCCUAGCUCU